UACGUAGGGACCAAGCGUUGUUCGGAUUUACUGGGCGUAAAGGGCGCGUAGGCGGCAAUUCAAGUCAUCUGUGAAAUCUCCGGGCUUAACUCGGAACGGUCAGAUGAUACUGCUUUGCUAGAGUGCGGAAGGGGCAACUGGAAUUCUCGGUGUAGCGGUGAAAUGCGUAGAUAUCGAGAGGAACACCUGCGGCGAAGGCGGGUUGCUGGGCUGACACUGACGCUGAACUGCGAAAGCUAGGGGAGCGAACGGG
rnacentral:rRNA from 1 species